rnacentral:rRNA from 1 species
CCUACGGGAGGCAGCAGUGAGGAAUAUUGGUCAAUGGACGCAAGUCUGAACCAGCCAUGCCGCGUGCAGGAAGACGGCUCUAUGAGUUGUAAACUGCUUUUGUCCGGGGGUAAACGCAGAUACGCGUAUCUGUCUGAAAGUAUCGUACGAAUAAGGAUCGGCUAACUCCGUGCCAGCAGCCGCGGUAAUACGGAGGAUUCAAGCGUUAUCCGGAUUUAUUGGGUUUAAAGGGUGCGUAGGCGGUUGGUUAAGUUAGAGGUGAAAUCCCGAGGCUCAACUGCGGAAUUGCCACUGAUACUGUUAGGCUAGAGAGUAGUUGAGGUAGGCGGAAUGUAUGGUGUAGCGGUGAAAUGCUUAGAGAUCAUACAGAACACCGAUUGCGAAGGCAGCUUACCAAGCUACUUCUGACGUUGAGGCACGAAAGCGUGGGGAGCAAACAGGAUUAGAUACCCCAGUAGUC